CAAUAGCGUAUAUUUAAGUUGUUGCAGUUAAAAAGCUCGUAGUUGGAUUUCGGAUGGGACUUGCCGGUCCGUCGUUUCGAUGUGCACUGGCCAGUCCUAUCUUGUUGUCGGGGACUAGCUCCUGGGCUUCACUGUCCGGGACUAGGAGCUGACGAGGUUACUUUGAGUAAAUUAGAGUGUUCAAAGCAAGCCUACGCUCUGAAUACAUUAGCAUGGAAUAACACGAUAGGACUCUGGCUUAUCUUGUUGGUCUGUGAGACCAGAGUAAUAAUUAAGAGGGACAGUCGGGGGCAUUCGUAUUUCAUUGUCAGAGGUGAAAUUCUUGGAUUUAUGAAAGACGAACUUCUGCGAAAGCAUUUGUCAAGGAUGUUUUCAUUAA
rnacentral:rRNA from 1 species